UGGGGAAUUUUGCACAAUGGGGGAAACCCUGAUGCAGCGACGCCGCGUGAUUUAGAAGGCCUUCGGGUUGUAAAAAUCUUUUCUAUGGGAAGAAAAUGACAGUACCAUAGGAAUAAGGACCGGCUAAUUACGUGCCAGCAGCCGCGGUAAUACGUAAGGUCCGAGCGUUGUCCGGAAUCAUUGGGCGUAAAGGGUACGUAGGCGGGUAAGCAAGUUAGAAGUGAAAUCCUAUAGCUCAACUAUAGUAAGCUUUUAAAACUGCUCAUCUUGAGGUAUGGAAGGGAAAGUGGAAUUCCUAGUGUAGCGGUGAAAUGCGCAGAUAUUAGGAGGAAUACCGGUGGCGAAGGCGACUUUCUGGGCAUAACCUGACACUGAGGUACGAAAGCGUGGGUAGCAAACAGG
rnacentral:rRNA from 1 species